CCUACGGGGGGCUGCAGUGGGGAAUUUUGGACAAUGGGGGCAACCCUGAUCCAGCCAUGCCGCGUGCGGGAAGAAGGCCUUCGGGUUGUAAACCGCUUUUGUCGGGGAAGAAAUCCUCUGGGCUACUACCUCGGGGGCAUGACGGUACCCGGAGAAUAAGCACCGGCUAACUACGUGCCAGCAGCCGCGGUAAUACGUAGGGUGCAAGCGUUAAUCGGAGUUACUGGGCGUGAAGCGUGCAGAGGCGGGCGAAAUCCCCGGGCGCAACCUGGGAAAUGCAUUUGUGACUGCAAGGCGGGAGUGCGGCAGAGGGGGAUGGAAUUCCGCGUGUAGCAGUGAAAUGCGUAGAUAUGCGGAGGAACACCGAUGGCGAAGGCAAUCCCCUGGGCCUGCACUGACGCUCAUGCACGAAAGCGUGGGGAGCAAACAGGAUUAGAUACCCUUGUAGUC
rnacentral:rRNA from 1 species